ACUUAUACUCUGUGCGGCAUCUGCUCCCAAACUGCAGGGGGCAGUGUAUCGCAAACACACGUCUACCUGGUCUACUCUGGUACUUAGCUAGAGUAGAAGAAGUCUGCCAUUGUUUACACCACGUGUAAGUGCACGUAUUUCUAGACUUCAGCUACGAGUAGGUCCUCUGCCAUGUUUUUCUGCGCGGCUCCGUUAGAAAAAUGUGGAGGUGCACAGCGCGGAAAUUUUCCGCGUGAGAACGGCCGCUCGAGGGGGCGUGGCUGCUAAAAUGACGCAAUUUUUCGGCAGGGAGCCGCACGGACCUCGCGGACGCGGAAAGCAUAAAACAGGCUUUAAUGUCAUCAGUCGGGCUGAUUCUGUGCUGUGGUGAGAGCGGAAGCCAGAUGUAAAGUUUCUCAGAGAUGCAGAUUUCAUUCAGAGUGAAAGUAGCAGUUCCUCCUGAAGGUCAGAGAUUGCAGCAUCCGAGGGCCUCUUCAAAAGAAGACGUAGUUGAUGAAGGCUUUCUGGAGCAGGACCAGAAAGACCACGACCAAGCAGCCUUGAGAUCUUAGGCAGCGUCUCCCUCAGGUCCCUCUCUAUCUCCCCAUACAUCCACCAACCACUGGAACACAUCUCCAAAGUUCUGCUGCCAGCUCAGCUUCCCCUCAGAAGAAGUGCCGCCACCUGCCAGAUGAAGGAGCCUUUUGAGAGGCAGCUGGCAUCGUGAUUGGACUGUACUGUGGUCUGUUCCAAUCCAGCUUCAGCUCCAGAGACGGCAGGCGGGACGAGUCAACGGAGGCCGGGUGGACGAAGGCAUGCCGCUGAGUCGGAAAAAAAAUGUGAUUUUUCAACAUGUUGUAAAAAUGUGCCAUAUGAUGAAAUAAUGUAAAGGAGGGCGUGAAAAACACUCCAGAAAGGUUUUCUUUGAAAAAAAAAAUCAUGAAUUUUGGCGCAAAAAAAUGCCAUAGUAUACUAUGUCAAAAAAAAAUGAUAUUUUUCAACAUGUUGUAAAAACGUGCCACAUGAUGAAAUAAUGUAAAGGAGGCCGUGAAAAACACUCCAGAAAGGUUUUCUUUGAAAAAAAAAAUCAUUAUGAAUUUUGGCGCAAAAAAAACGCCAUAGUAUACUAUGUCGAAAAAAAAAGUCAUUUUUCAACAUGUUGUGAAAACAUGCAAUAUGAUAAAAUGAUGUAAAGCCGGCUGUGAAAAACACUCCCGAAAGGUUUUCUUUGGAAAAAAAAAUCAUCAUGAAUUUUGGCGCAAAAAAACGCCUUACUAUACUAUGUCGAAAAAAAUGCCAUUUUUCCAACAUGUUGUAAAAACGUGCCAUAUGAUGAAAUAAUGUAAAGGAGGCCGUAAAAAACACUAUGGUAAGGUUUUCUUUGAAAAAAAAAAUCAUGAAUUUUGGCACAAAAAAACUCCAUAGUGUGUCGAAAAAUGUCAUUUUUCAACAUGGUGUGAAAACGUGCCAUAUGAUGAAAUAAUGUAAAGGAGGCCGUGAAAAACACUCCAGAAAGGUUUUCUUUGAAAAAAAAAUCAUCAUGAAUUUUGGCGCAAAAAAACGCCAUAGUAUGCUAUGCCGAAAAAAAAUGGUAUUUUUCAACAUGUAAAAACUUGCUAUAUGAUGAAAUAAUGUAAAGGAGGCCAUGAAAAACACAAUGGUAAGGUUUUCUUUGAAAAAAAAUCAUGAAGUUUGGCACAAAAAAAACGUCAUCGUAUACUAUGUCGAAAAAAAACGUCCUUUUUCAACAUGUUGUAAAAACGUGCCAUAUGAUGAAAGAAUGUAAAGUAGGUUGUGAAAAACACUCCAGAAAGGUUUUCUUUGAAAAAAAAAAAUCAUCAUGAAUUUUGGUGCAAAAAAAAGGCCAUAGUAUACUAUGUCGAAAAAUGUCAUUUUUCAACACUAAAACUUAUUGAAAAAAUAGGUUUUACUUAAGUCCACCUGUUUCAACCAUCUCUACCCCUCAUUAGCUACCACUCUAAGGUACAUUAUACAACAAAAAGUCCAGUAGAUGUCACUGUGUUUUGAAAUAGCAUGCAGAGCAAGUUAGUCUGCUCACAGGAAGUUAACACGAGCAAAAUCACUCCUCACAUGAGGCCUCUGUUUGCUGUGAUUUUCAAAGGCAAAGUAAUACUUUUGACAUAUUAUGGUGCCUAAGGAGUUGCUGAACACAAAUGUGCCAUUUAAAUGUUGGUAGAGGUCAAUAUUUAAAAAAUCGCUGGGUCUCUUCAUAAAAAAAACAUUGAUUGUUGUUAUUAGUGCCCCAAAGAGAUAAGAAAUAUAAAGAAAUAAUUUUUUCAUUGC